CACGUAGGAGGCGAGCGUUGUCCGGAAUCAUUGGGCGUAAAGAGCGCGCAGGCGGCUUGGCAAGUCGGGUGUGAAAUCCCGGGGCUCAACCCCGUGACUGCAUCCGAUACUGUCAGGCUAGAGGUAGGUAGGGGCAAGCGGAAUUCCUGGUGUAGCGGUGAAAUGCGCAGAUAUCAGGAGGAACACCGGUGGCGAAGGCGGCUUGCUGGGCCUUACCUGACGCUGAGGAGCGAAAGCGUGGGGAGCGAACAGG
rnacentral:rRNA from 1 species